rnacentral:rRNA from 1 species
UACGUAGGGAGCAAGCGUUGUCCGGAAUCAUUGGGCGUAAAGCGCGCGUAGGUGGCUUCGUAAGUCCGCUGUGAAAGUCAAAGGCUCAACCUUUGAAAGCCGGUGGAUACUGCGGAGCUAGAGUCCGGAAGAGGCGAGUGGAAUUCCUGGUGUAGCGGUGGAAUGCGCAGAUAUCAGGAGGAACACCAAUAGCGAAGGCAGCUCGCUGGGACGGUACUGACACUGAGGCGCGAGAGCGUGGGGGAGCGAACAGG